rnacentral:rRNA from 1 species
GACAGAGGUGCCGAGCGUUAGGCGGAAUCACUGGGCUUAAAGCGUGUGUAGGCGGACUUCUAAGUACCUUGUGAAAUCCCACGGCUCAACCGUGGAACUGCUCGGUAUACUGGUUGUCUUGAGCCACUUAGGGGCAGUCGGAACAGACGGUGGAGCGGUGAAAUGCGUAGAUAUCGGAAGGAACGCCGGUGGCGAAAGCGAUCGACUGGACCUCUUCUGACGCUGAGGCGCGAAAGCCAGGGGAGCAAACGGG